rnacentral:rRNA from 1 species
CCUACGGGUGGCUGCAGUGAGGAAUAUUGGUCAAUGGGCGCGAGCCUGAACCAGCCAAGUCGCGUGAGGGAAGACGGUCCUAUGGAUUGUAAACUUCUUUUGUCGGGGAGUAAAACACGCUAUGCGUGGCGUCUUGAGAGUACCCGAUGAAAAAGCAUCGGCUAACUCCGUGCCAGCAGCCGCUGUAAUACGGAGGAUGCGAGCGUUAUCCGGAUUUAUUGGGUUUAAAGGGUGCGUAGGCGGAAGAUUAAGUCAGCGGUAAAAUUGAGAGGCUCAACCUCUUCGAGCCGUUGAAACUGGUUGUCUUGAGUGAGCGAGAAGUAUGCGGAAUGCGUGGUGUAGCGGUGAAAUGCAUAGAUAUCACGCAGAACUCCGAUUGCGAAGGCAGCAUACCGGCGCUCAACUGACGCUCAUGCACGAAAGUGUGGGUAUCGAACAGGAUUAGAUACCCUUGUAGUC